rnacentral:rRNA from 1 species
UGGGGAAUAUUGCACAAUGGGGGAAACCCUGAUGCAGCGACGCCGCGUGAACGAAGAAGGUAUUCGUAUCGUAAAGUUCUGUCCUAUGGGAAGAUAAUGACAGUACCAUAGAAGAAAGCUCCGGCUAAAUACGUGCCAGCAGCCGCGGUAAUACGUAUGGAGCGAGCGUUGUCCGGAAUUAUUGGGCGUAAAGGGUACGCAGGCGGUUUAAUAAGUCGAAUGUUAAAGAUCGGGGCUCAACCCCGCAAAGCAUUGGAAACUGAUAAACUUGAGUAGUGGAGAGGAAAGUGGAAUUCCUAGUGUAGUGGUGAAAUACGUAGAUAUUAGGAGGGAGACCAGUAGCAAAGGCGACUUUCUGGACACAAACUGACGCUGAGGUACGAAAGCGUGGGGAGCAAACAGG